rnacentral:rRNA from 1 species
AUUGAACGCUGGCGGCAGGCCUAACACAUGCAAGUCGAGCGGAGCGGCGGACGGGUGAGUAAUUCCUAUGAAUCUGCCUGGUCGUGGGGGAUAACUUACGGAAACGGGCGCUAAUACCGCAUACUCUCAGAUGAGCCUAGUGCGGAUUAGCUAGUUGGUGGGGUAAAGGCCUACCAAGCUGACGAUCCUUAGCUGGUCUGAGAGGAUGAUCAGUCACACUGGAACUGAGACACGGUCCAGACUCCUACGGGAGGCAGCAGUGGGGAAUAUUGGACAAUGGGCGAAAGCCUGAUCCAGCCAUGCCGCGUGUGUGAAGAAGGUCUUCGGAUUGUAAAGCACUUUAAGUUGGGAGGCGUUACCAACAGAAUAAGCACCGGCUAACUUCGUGCCAGCAGCCGCGGUAAUAC